rnacentral:rRNA from 1 species
AGAACCUGAAACCGUGUACGUACAAGCAGUAGGAGCACCUUCGUGGUGUGACUGCGUACCUUUUGUAUAAUGGGUCAGCGACUUAUAUUCAGUGGCAAGGUUAACCGUAUAGGGGAGCCGUAGCGAAAGCGAGUCUUAACUGGGCGCUCAGUCUCUGGAUAUAGACCCGAAACCGGGUGAUCUAGCCAUGGGCAGGUUGAAGG